UACAGAGGUCUCAAGCGUUGUUCGGAUUCAUUGGGCGUAAAGGGUGCGUAGGCGGCGCGGUAAGUCGGGUGUGAAAUCUCGGAGCUUAACUCCGAAACUGCAUUCGAUACUGCCGUGCUUGAGGACUGGAGAGGAGACGUAGUAACUUGUGGUAGCGGUGAAAUGCGUAGAUAUCGUAAGGAAGACCAGUGGCGAAGGCGGGUCUCUGGACCACAACUGACGCUGAGGCGCGAA
rnacentral:rRNA from 1 species